rnacentral:lncRNA from 1 species
GGGAAAGAGAAGAAGAAGAGAGAGUGGCUAGGGAGGAGGCUCAGAGUAGAGAUGAAAGUAUGGGUAUCGGACGGUCAGAAGAAGGUAUGGGGGAGUCCCAGGGAGGCGUACAGGCCUCGGGGUUUGGCUAUCCACCCUUUCACCAGGGCCCAGGGUAUCCGAUGGGAGGCACGUCGGAUUACUCCAGCUUUGCUCCAUAUCCACCCUACAUGCCAUAUAUG